rnacentral:lncRNA from 1 species
UGAGGGUGCAGUGUGAUUAGGGGUUUCUUCAGGGCUGCACUGGAAUGCCGUGGAACCCACAGCACCUUCCUCAGGAUCAGAGGGGCUCAGUGCUCUCCUGGUUUACUCUCGAAACGUCUACACUGUGCUGAGCUGGGGGCGGUGGUUGCAUUUCUCAAGCAAAGGCUCCUCCCUUCCCCCCAAGCAUCAAGAGCCCGAGUGACAUGUGGGAGUAAGGACAGGAGGACGGCAGCCAUCAGCCCCCUGUACGUGUACACGCAUGUCUUCCAAGACAGAAAGCUCUUAGAAUAGCGUCUGUGCCGAUGGAGUCUUUCCUAAAAAAGUAUUUCUACUACAUUCAUCAAUACCAUUAAAAAAAAAAAAA